rnacentral:lncRNA from 1 species
GUGAAACCCUAUCUCAAAAGAAAAAAAAAAAAUAAUGGCUGGAGAAGCAGCUCAGUGGUAGAGCACCUGUCUAUCUUUGCAUGAGCCCCUGGAUUCAAUCCUCAGUAACACACCUGCAUGCAUGCAUGCAUACACACUCACACACACACACGCACACACACACACACAAACACAAAGGUAGGGUUGUCAUUGUGUUAUUUGGUGGGGAUCAAAGGAAGAGACAGACCUGGUUUAGAGUUGGAACAUGUUAAAUUUCUACGCCUUGUAUCCGGUGGGUCCAGUAAGCCACUGGAUGUAUGAGUUUAGAAUAUGAAGUCAAGGUAUGGGCUAGACAACAGACUGGGGGAUUUAUUAGGAGAUAAUUGGUAGUUUGAAGCCUAAGGAUAGUGCAGAGUUGAAGAAACAAGUGCUUAAGUUAGAACUGAGGAACAGAUCUAUUAUUUAAGCAAAAGAUAGAUUUCUAGAGCACACUGAGAUUAGCUUCUCCUAGUCCUCCAAUAAAAUCACGCCAAAUAGGGGGAGGAAAGUAGUGAGGAAGAUAAUUGUCAAAGGUGUCCAAUGUUCCAGAGAUUAUGUGAAAUGAAAAAAUAGUAAUAAACUUUUACUGGUGAAGAGCUCAUUGGUAACUUUGUUUAGAACAAUUUUCAUUUAGCAUUAAAGGCUGAAGUCAGACUGCAUUAUGCCAUAUUGGAAAUGAAAAUGGAAACAAAAAGAAAUGUUUUCUCAAACUAUUUGACUAAAUUGCCAAUGAUGUAGAUUAAUGAUUUUAUAUGAAAAGACUGUUAAUCAAAUAGAUUAUGCAAAAGUAUAUAAUUUAAUCUCACUUGUUCCAAUAAUCUAUCACUACAUAAAGAGCCACCAAAAAAUUCAGUGGCAUAAAACAAUAUUAUAUUAAUGCUAUAAGUUAACUGUAUUUAGCUGAGUGAUUCUUUUCUGAUUACUGAGUUUAUUUUUCCACAUUUUUUAUUGAUGCAUUACAGUUGUACAUAAUGAUGGGAUUUGUUACAUAUUUGCACAAGAUAUAAUAUCACUCCUCAACACUUUCCCCCAUGGGUGA